rnacentral:rRNA from 1 species
CGCCUGUUUAUCAAAAACAUAGCCUUUAGCCAAACAAGUAUUGAAGGUAAUGCCUGCCCAGUGAAGCCACUUUCAACGGCCGCGGUACCCUAACCGUGCAAAGGUAGCGUAUCAUUUGUCCACUAAUUAUGGACCUGUAUGAAAGGCCACAUGAGAAUCUAACUGUCUCUUGUAACUAAUUUAUAAAACUGAUCUUCCAGUCCAAAAGCUAGAAUAUUUAUAUAAGACGAGAAGACCCUGUGAAGCUUA